UUAGGGUCAGUUGCUAGUCUAUAUAUGUUUCUGGACACCGUAAGUGAUGUGUGGCUUGUUGCGAGCGGAGGUCAGUAGUAACUGUUUGAACUGUGUUGGGGGAGGAUGUGUCCGGGUGUGGCUGACCAGCCGGUGGUAAAUACUCUUUCGGCUGCUACAGCUCUCCAGCCCAGGGUGUCGACUGCCUAGUCUUCAACUGCCUCCCAACAUGGUAGCGAGGUCCUGAGCUGAUGUACCCUAUGGCGAAGAUUGAGGAAGUAGUUUCCUGAAGUAAUGAAUGGCACUUUAUAACCAGCAGCCGGCACCAGCUCUGGACAACGUCGGAGUGGACAAGGCCCAGAUCCCGUGGGGAGGAAGGUCUACACUAACAUGUAAAAGUGUUCAGUUAAUUGUUUGGCUAGAAGUUUGUAUUGUAUAUAAAUUUAACAAGCGUGAUGCAUCAAAUGAACAAUCUAAAUGGGCUGUGUUCAAAUGUCAGAAGAUUGCAGAUGCACCUUAAUUGACUGUGCCAUGACAUGGUAAAAGAAUUGCAACUGGGAGGUCUACUGACCUCAUGGCUCCAGAACAUAGAUUGGAAAGUCCUAAACUACAUUCCUGGAGUUUGAAGGUGUCAAUUGACAUUCAGAAUCAGAUUACAAUGGUAUCCAAGCAUUGACUGACUUGAAGUGUGGCUGUUCUACUCUGCACAUCUAUGAAGCUGGUUGUGGAGGGUCCUUCCAACAUAAUUUCAGGGAUGGUGUACAGAACAAUUGGUGAAAGUUAUGCUACAGAAAAUAGUUGUGUGAGAGAAUUAGUUGGUAAAAAACAUGGAUUGGGAAGUCCUAAACUACAUCCUAGAGUUUGAAGGUGUUGAUUGUUUGACAUUCAGACUGAGAUUACAAUGGUAUCCAAGCAUUGACUGACUUUCAAGUGUGGCUGUUCUACUCUGCACAUCUAUGAAGCUGGUUGUGGAGGGUCCUUCCAACAUAAUUUCAGGGAUGGUGUACAGAACAAUUGGUGAAAGUUAUGCUACAGAAAAUAGCAGUUGUGAGAAUUAGUUAGUAAAAAAUAUGGAUUGGGAAGUGCAGAAUUAGAUCCUGGAGUUUGAAUGCUUGACAUUCAGAAUAAGGUGAUAAUGAAGAUUACAAUGGUACCAAAGCAGUGAGGCUAUUCUACUUCACACAUCCAAUAAACUGGUGGAUGUUGUCCUUGUUACUCUGGAGUUUUCCCUGUCCUUUUGGAGUCUUCAGUGGAUUGCAUCUAGGAGGAGCAGCUUCCCACAACCUGAAAUGGACAAUAGUCAAUAUUAGAUGUUACACUGUAUACUAUGCAAUAAAUAUUCUAAUGAAACUA